UACGGGGGGGGCAAGCGUUGUUCGGAAUUACUGGGCGUAAAGGGCGCGUAGGCGGCCAACUAAGUCGGAUGUGAAAUCCCCAGGCUUAACCUGGGAACUGCAUCCGAUACUGGAUGGCUUGAAUCCGGGAGAGGGAUGCGGAAUUCCAGGUGUAGCGGUGAAAUGCGUAGAUAUUGGGAAGAACACCGAUGGCGAAGGCAGCCAUCUGGACCGACACUGACGCUGAGGCGCGAAAGCGUGGGGAGCAAACAGG
rnacentral:rRNA from 1 species